AUUCUAUCUUUUGACACUGUUCAUUGUUCAGUAUUGUAUGCUACAGAAAUACACUGAGAAUCUCCAACGAAACAAUAAUAAUAUUUCUUGGUUACCAAUACUACAUGGUAAAACAGAGAGUGUUCAAUGCGAUGUACCACGCUCAUCUAUGCAACAUGACAUGUGAGGAUACUAAUUUAUUGGUUUCAUGCGAAAAGGAUAGCAGGAAAAUGCCAAUCAAGAUGGCGAGCAUGAUUAUGCCAAUCAAUUACUGAUUUCAACAAAAAUCAUCAGCGCCACAAGGCCCUGUUAUUGACUCUGUGCCAGAGUUCUAAUUAUGUGAAGACACAGUGAGCUGCAGACUGUGUUGGAGCUGGAACUCGCAAUUAUAAGAUAGACAUGGAUAAGGUAGAGAAUGGAUUUUGGUGCUGGCUGCCUCACACCG